rnacentral:rRNA from 1 species
GUAGUCCAUGCCGUAAACGUUGGGCACUAGGUGUGGGGCUCAUUCCACGAGUUCCGUGCCGCAGCAAACGCAUUAAGUGCCCCGCCUGGGGAGUACGGCCGCAAGGCUAAAACUCAAAGAAAUUGACGGGGGCCCGCACAAGCGGCGGAGCAUGCGGAUUAAUUCGAUGCAACGCGAAGAACCUUACCAAGGCUUGACAUACACCGGAAACUUCCAGAGAUGGUUGCCCCGCAAGGUCGGUGUACAGGUGGUGCAUGGUUGUCGUCAGCCCGUGUCGUGAGAUGUUGGGUUAAGUCCCGCAACGAGCGCAACCCUCGUCCCAUGUUGCCAGCGGGUUAUGCCGGGGACUCAUGGGAGACUGCCGGGGUCAACUCGGAGGAAGGUGGGGAUGACGUCAAAUCAUCAUGCCCCUUAUGUCUUGGGCUUCACGCAUGCUACAAUGGCCGGUACAAAGGGCUGCGAUACCGCGAGGUGGAGCGAACCCCAAAAAGCCGGUCUCAGUUCGGAUUGGGGUCUGCAACUCGACCCCAUGAAGUCGGAGUCGCUAGUAAUCGCAGAUCAGCAACGCUGCGGUGAAUACGUUCCCGGGCCUUGUACACACCGCCCGUCAAGUCACGAAAGUCGGUAACACCCGAAGCCGGUGGCCCAACCCUUGUGGAGGGAGCUGUCGAAGGUGGGACUGGCGAUUGGGACU